rnacentral:rRNA from 1 species
GACGUAGGGCGCGAGCGUUGUCCGGAUUUAUUGGGCGUAAAGAGCUCGUAGGCGGCUUGUCGCGUCGAAUGUGAAACUCGGGGCUCAACUCCGAGCUUGCAUUCGAUACGGGCAGGCUAGAGUUCGGUAGGGGAGGACUGGAAUUCCUGGUGUAGGCGGUGGAAAUGCGCAGAUAUCGGGAGGAACACCGGUGGCGAAGGCGGUUCUCUGGGCCGUUACCUGACGCUGAGGAGCGAAAGCGUGGGGAGCGAACAGGAUU